CAUAACUUGCAAGAAUAUGGUUUUUCACCAGUGUGAGUUCUCAUUAGGCUAUCAUUAAAGUUUGGGAUACUGUUGGUAUCGGAUGAUUGGUUGGAUAAUCCACGAUUGUCAAUGUUAAACACUUGUUGACUUUUGUGCACUGUAUCGGCGUCUUCAGCUUGCACUUUGUUUUCGUUAUUCGACGCAAGUCCCGCGGACAAAUCAGUGACUGAAACAAAAUAUAUGUCUUAUUUUUUUUAAUUUUGUGGUACAACAGAUAGUGGUAGAUUGAAAUAGUGGUUUUUUUUUUAAAUUAAUCUCUUCUGAUAAUGAUUUCUAGCCACAUAAACUACCGCUAUACUAAACAUCACAACAUUCUAUUACCACAUGUCUAAGACCCUAUGAGACGUUUUGAAAGUUGUUGCAUAGCAAACCUAACGAUCUGAGAAUAUUUAAAAUGGCAAAGUGUAUCUGCCUAUCUGUCUGUCUGUUACGAUUUCAUGGCCCGAUUAUCCGAUCAACCGAUUUCGACGUUUCGUACAGAGUUAGCUUGCAUCGCGGGGACUCAUUUAGUCUGCUUUCAUCCCGGAAAAGCAGCUUCCUACGGGACUU